rnacentral:rRNA from 1 species
GAUGCUAUUUCUAGAGAUAGAAGUUACUUCGGUACAUCGGUGACAGGUGGUGCAUGGUUGUCGUCAGCUCGUGUCGUGAGAUGUUGGGUUAAGUCCCGCAACGAGCGCAACCCCUAUUGUUAGUUGCCAUCAUUCAGUUGGGCACUCUAGCGAGACUGCCGGUAAUAAACCGGAGGAAGGUGGGAUGACGUCAAAUCAUCAUGCCCCUUAUGACCUGGGCUACACACGUGCUACAAUGGUUGGUACAACGAGUUGCGAGUCGGUGACGGCGAGCUAAUCUCUUAAAGCCAAUCUCAGUUCGGAUUGUAGGCUGCAACUCGCCUACAUGAAGUCGGAAUCGCUAGUAAUCGCGGAUCAGCACGCCGCGGUGAAUACGUUCCCGGGCCUU